AGAGUGUGAAUGUUAACAGGAAAUGAAGAAGCAAUCAACCACAGCUUUCUCCUCUGAGAUGAAUGCAGCCUGAGAGAGACCUCCUAUCAGGAUUAGCUAAGCCUGCCAUCUUCUUCAGCUAUACAAUAAACCUGCCUCCCCAGCUCAGAUAUGUUUCCAGGACCAAGCUGUUUAGGACACAGCAACCGAAUCCUCGUCAAACAAGUUCAACAACGGCAACAUUCUGCCAUGUGAAGCCAAGAACCUGGAAGCACCUGGCCUAGACCAGUAGCACCUAUGUGGAUUUUAGUUUCUGAAGGCAAAGUGAAGGAGGAUACCGGGCAAAGCCGUGGUGGUGGGCUUCUCAGAGAGCUGUUUUCAAACAAGAAUCGACACAGUUGAUGGCUGGCUGGUGUGGUGAGAGGUUUCCCUCCAAUGAUCAACUGGUCCAUAGCUCUGUGGUCUGUGGCAAGGCAGGAACAUCAUGGCAGCAGGGAAUACUGAUCAAAGAUGUUUACCAUGCCAUUGCACCCUUGAACUCUCAGCAGCUGUGAUUGUCACACAAGGCCGGCACAAGAUGGAACUCAUCAACGUUCAGUCACAGAAAGGAUCACUGUGGGCAGAAGGGCUGAAAGGGACAGGUUCGAGGUCAGAGAGCCAUCUAUGUGCCCAUCACUCAGCUACUCUCUCCAGCCUCUGCUCACCUACACCUGCUGCAGACACAGAUGUGGGGUGGACACUUAUCCCCUAACCAUCCAAGAACGUGAAGCCCCGUACCACGACACACACACUCUUGUCCCACCCUGCUCCAUCCUCCUAGCUAGUGAGGGACUCUAUUCCAUUGUAGCAGCCCUGGCUCCAGGGCUGGUGGACAAGACCUUUCAUUUCCCAAGCAAAAUUCCAUCCCGCCAACAGC
rnacentral:lncRNA from 1 species